GUCAAGGACUGUCCCUUAGCCUGAGCACCCAGAUACCGGUGCCUUCGUUUCAGUACCGGCCUGGUUCUAUGGACAUCUCGUUUGUGGGUUCUCAUCAGCCGGCUCCAGGAAAUGGUGGGGCAUCCAGGGAUGAUAAUUCUAGAUGCAAAGACAUCAAUUCGGUUUCCUCUACUUAUGUCCUUCCAAGUGUCGGAAGUUCCAUUCCAAAUUCAAAGUAUCUCAAGCCCGCACAACAAUUACUUGAUGAAGUUGUUAAUGUCCGUCAGGCUUUAAAGCACAAA
rnacentral:misc_RNA from 1 species